GAUGAACGCUGGCGGCGUGCCUAAUACAUGCAAGUCGAGCGAACAGAUGAGGAGCUUGCUCCUCUGACGUUAGCGGCGGACGGGUGAGUAACACGUGGAUAACCUACCUAUAAGACUGGGAUAACUUCGGGAAACCGGAGCUAAUACCGGAUAAUAUAUUGAACCGCAUGGUUCAAUAGUGAAAGACGGUUUUGCUGUCACUUAUAGAUGGAUCCGCGCCGCAUUAGCUAGUUGGUAAGGUAACGGCUUACCAAGGCGACGAUGCGUAGCCGACCUGAGAGGGUGAUCGGCCACACUGGAACUGAGACACGGUCCAGACUCCUACGGGAGGCAGCAGUAGGGAAUCUUCCGCAAUGGGCGAAAGCUUGACGGAGCAACGCCGCGUGAGUGAUGAAGGUCUUCGGAUCGUAAAACUCUGUUAUUAGGGAAGAACAAAUGUGUAAGUAACUGUGCACGUCUUGACGGUACCUAAUCAGAAAGCCACGGCUAACUACGUG
rnacentral:rRNA from 1 species